UACGGAGGGGGCUAGCGUUGUUCGGAAUUACUGGGCGUAAAGCGCACGUAGGCGGAUGUUCAAGUCGGGGGUGAAAUCCCGGGGCUCAACCCCGGAACUGCCUUCGAUACUGGACGUCUGGAGGUCGGGAGAGGUGAGUGGAAUUCCGAGUGUAGAGGUGAAAUUCGUAGAUAUUCGGAGGAACACCGGUGGCGAAGGCGGCUCACUGGCCCGAUACUGACGCUGAGGUGCGAAAGCGUGGGGAGCAAACAGG
rnacentral:rRNA from 1 species